ACAGUAGGAGCUUGCUCUUAUGGGUGGCGAGUGGCGGACGGGUGAGGAAUACAUCGGAAUCUACUCUUUCGUGGGGGAUAACGUAGGGAAACUUACGCUAAUACCGCAAACGACCUACGGGUGAAAGCGGAGGACCUUCGGGCUUCGCGCGAUUGAAUGAGCCGAUGUCGGAUUAGCUAGUUGGCGGGGUAAAGGCCCACCAAGGCGACGAUCCGUAGCUGGUCUGAGAGGAUGAUCAGCCACACUGGAACUGAGACACGGUCCAGACUCCUACGGGAGGCAGCAGUGGGGAAUAUUGGACAAUGGGCGCAAGCCUGAUCCAGCCAUGCCGCGUGGGUGAAGAAGGCCUUCGGGUUGUAAAGCCCUUUUGUUGGGAAAGAAAAGCAGUCGGUUAAUACCCGAUUGUUCUGACGGUACCCAAAGAAUAAGCACCGGCUAACUUCGUGCCAGCAGCCGCGGUAAUACGAAGGGUGCAAGCGUUACUCGGAAUUACUGGGCGUAAAGCGUGCGUAGGUGGUGGUUUAAGUCUGUUGUGAAAGCCCUGGGCUCAACCUGGGAAUUGCAGUGGAUACUGGGUCACUAGAGUGUGGUAGAGGGUAGCGGAAUUCCCGGUGUAGCAGUGAAAUGCGUAGAGAUCGGGAGGAACAUCCGUGGCGAAGGCGGCUACCUGGACCAACACUGACACUGAGGCACGAAAGCGUGGGGAGCAAA
rnacentral:rRNA from 1 species